rnacentral:rRNA from 1 species
CGAACUCGGCUGUGAAACAUUGCGGGGGUGACAAUACUUUCCGGGUGACUGGGCGGGAAGAUAGCCUUGUGCCAAGAGGUCUCAUGCAUUUGCUUCUAAUAGAAGGCAAAAAGCUGAAGAAACAGAAGCCAUUUCGCAAA